UCCUACGGGAGGCAGCAGUGGGGAAUAUUGGACAAUGGGGGAAACCCUGAUCCAGCGACGCCGCGUGAGUGAAGAAGUAUUUCGGUACGUAAAGCUCUAUCAGCAGGAAAGAAAAUGACGGUACCUGACUAAGAAGCCCCGGCUAACUACGUGCCAGCAGCCGCGGUAAUACGUAGGGGGCAGGCGUUAUCCGGAUUUACUGGGUGUAAUGGGAGCGUAGACGGCAGCGCAAGUCUGGAGUGAAUUUCCGGGGCCC
rnacentral:rRNA from 1 species